rnacentral:rRNA from 1 species
GAUGAACGCUGGCGGCGUGCCUAAUACAUGCAAGUCGAGCGAACAGACGAGGAGCUUGCUCCUCUGACGUUAGCGGCGGACGGGUGAGUAACACGUGGAUAACCUACCUAUAAGACUGGGAUAAUUUCGGGAAACCGGAGCUAAUACCGGAUAAUAUAUUGAACCGCAUGGUUCACUAGUGAAAGACGGUUUUGCUGUCACUUAUAGAUGGAUCCGCGCCGCAUUAGCUAGUUGGUAAGGUAACGGCUUACCAAGGCAACGAUGCGUAGCCGACCUGAGAGGGUGAUCGGCCACACGGGAACUGAGACACAGUCCAGACUCCUACGGGAGGCAGCAGUAGGGAAUCUUCCGCAAUGGGCGAAAGCUUGACGGAGCAACGCCGCGUGAGUGAUGAAGGUCUUCGGAUCGUAAAACUCUGUUAUUAGGGAAGAACAAAUGUGUAAGUAACUAUGCACGUCUUGACGGUACCUAAUCAGAAUGCCACGGCUAACUACGUG